rnacentral:rRNA from 1 species
AUGAUCGAUCGACGUUGGUCUUCUGGUCUACAAAUAAUAUACCGCUUAGCUUAUUUGAAGGAAACUUGCAAAAGUCAGACUCUAACUAGUUCAUUUCUUAAUGGGACCUACAACAACCGUACCGGCCGGAGCUCCAACCCACCUUUGCAUAGAUGUCAACUCUCACGCCACUACAAGAACAACAGAUCAAGCACCACAGGCACAUCAUCCUCCCUGUCGAUCGACACAUACCUAACAAGCAAGCUUCAGCAGUUUGUGAUGGCUGACAUGGUUCGGCUCCGAAGGACCUUGAUGUUCCUUCUUGUGUUUGGCGCCGUCAUGCAGAUGCAAGUGAGCUCCGUCGUGCCCCUUGCAGCGGCCGCCAGAGUGCUGCUGGAGGUUAACAUCGGCGUGGGAGUGGGAGGUGUCGGAGUCGCCGCUAAGGCAGGCGCAGGAGGGGUUGGGGUCGGCGCUAAUGCCAAGGCUGGAGGCAAACCAUUCAAACACAAAAAGACUGGAGGCAAAGGUGCUAGCCCUGCCCCGCCUCCAUCCGCCGUCGACUGCGGCGACAACAGCGACCCCUGCGUUGGCGGGGGCGGUGGCGGCAACGGCGGCGGCUAUUACGAUUACGCCGACUACCCGUGA